UGAAUCUCUACCAGUCAGAAUAUUACCAUAAUAAUCUUUUAGAUAUUUGAUACAUGUCUUUCCCUCUAAUCUUUCAGCUCUUCUUCCACCAACACUGACAGUGAGCACAGCAGUGAUCUCAGAGACAGACUCAGUCACGUUACACUGUCAGGCACCAGCAUCUGCCUCAGUGUAUCACUGUUAUUUUUAUACUGGGGAGCAACAAAGUAACAAAGACCUCUCGUGUCUGCAGACACUGACAGCAACUAAAAUGCUGUUAAUCUCACAUCAGAGAUCACCUGCUGAGGUCAAAGUCAGAUGUUUGUACACUGUGAAUUAUGGAUCUGUGACUUCUACUUCACCACACAGUAACCCAUCCUCCAUCACCAUACAAAGUCAAAAACCAGAGAUGAGUGUUCAGCAUUCUGAUGGGGAGUCUGUUCACAUCAUGUGCUUACUGCCUGGAUCUGUGAAAGAUGAUACAAGUACUUAUCUGUACUUUGGAGAAGCAAGUCAUCCAGUCCUAAAUCUAGGACUGCCAUUGAAAUGCGGGGUGAAGAAUGUGAGAGGCAUCGUUGAUGAUUUUGGCUGCCUGUCUAAGGGCCUGUUGGCUGCGGUGUGUACUUGACCAAAAAUAAGCUUUAAGUCAAUUUUCAGGUUAACAUGCGUACAUACGUUAUGCUAAAGCUACAAUUCUGAUGCUUAGCAUGAAUGAUAAAGCUUAGUCUCUCACUAUGACUCAUAAACACAAAAACCGUGUUUAUUUAGAGGAAGAGUUUGUCUUCUUGACAUUCACAGAGUUUUGCACCAUAAAUCAAGUGCAAGUGGUCAUGAUGUGACUUCCAGGAAGGGUUCAUAGGUGCAUGUCAGAAGCUUGAGAGAGUGAUUUAAAUUAAUUAGUUUUUAAAAAUUUAUUUUUGAAAUGACUCCUUUUGAAGUGAUGCAUAAAAGCAAAAAAUCCUUUUACUGUAGACAUUAUGGAAAGAGAAUCAACAAUGACCGACACAAAACCAUCAUCUACUCUAACCAUGGGUAGGUGUUAGAUACAAUACUUGUAAAAUAAAUCCAGAAGAUCAUCACACAUGACUUUUUUAAAUGAACUUAGACACUUUUUUAUGCAUUUAUGCAGCAGAAUUGACCCUCACCACAUCAGCUGCUUUCACUUCUAUCUCUUCUGAUAUGUCUCAUUAGUUAAACAAAAACUAUGGCCUAUGUGUUGCAUGCAGUUUUUUCAGUUUUAAUGCAAAUCUUGUAACAUUAAAGCUAAGUUGUGGAAUUUUUAUUUAUUUAAUAUUUUUAUUGUACACUAAAUGUUUUCUGUAUACACUCAAAGGUCCAACAAUCCAAAUAUUCUGAGUCUGAACCUUGUUUAUGGUGUAUACCAACAAUGUUUUUGUUAUGUUGUUUUCUUUACUGUAGUUUAAUCUUUAUUAUUGAUACAGAAAAGAAAUUCAGUAGCAAAUAUUUACUUUAAAAAAUACUAAUAUAUUUGACAUUGCGUUAAUUAUUUUGUAUUCAUGUGUUUUAAAUUAGUAACUACUAUUAAUCUAAACUAUGCAACUAAUAUGACCUCUGCAACCACAAAAGCUGAGGACAUGACAUCAGGAGGGAGUAACACAGGUACUCUUAUGAGUACAAUGAAAAUGCAAAGAUAUGUUGCUGCGAAAGUUUUUGUAAUAUUUCUGUUUGAGAAACCUGUAAAUAAAACAAACACUGGUACGUCAUAAAACCAACCCUCACAGGAGUAAAGUAUUUCACAUAGUGUAUAUUGCAACUGUCAUUAAAUGGUAAAUGGAUUGAUUCUUAUAUGGCGCUUUAAGAUUCACUCAGAGCUCAGAGUGCUAUUUAAACCUGUACAUUAGAAUAAUCACAGUUUUUCUAUACAGUUUGACUUCCAUCUACUGUCUUCCCUUUUAUUUACAGAACAUCAGCA
ensembl:lncRNA